CUGUCACUUCCCACCCCCUUCCUUAGGUCCACGUGCCUGCGUAGCCUGGGGUGGGGGUGCGGUUUUGUUUGUGGUAUAAAGCCCAUUUGUGUGCACAGCGGGGGAGGGGUUGUCACAGCACCAGGGAGAGACAGCAUUCUAACUACCAGACCCAGCCACCUCCCUCCCCGGGGAGCCCAGAUCUAGGGCGCCUUUUGUCACUGAAGAGGACACUGACCCUUAGCAGAGAGGCCUGGGCAGGAGGGGCGAGGGGUGACUGUGGAAACAAUUACUGUCACCAUGAGAAAAAGGCGGGACUCCAGAGAAAGAGAGGGGAGGGGCCAGAGAGAGGCCAUGUGACCAGCGGGGUGAGGGGGUCCCGGGGCUUCCCGCCCACCCGACAAAGGGUCGCUGCAGGUCCGACGGGACCGGGUGAAACCUGCCACGGUGGAGUUAGCCAGUGGAGCGUGGAGGCUGCGUGGCGUCUCAGGAAUUUGAGCUGUUGAGCGCUCCCCCACGGGACUAGAAAUCCCGAUCGGAAUAAAAGUUUCCGUCUUGAAGUCGUUCCAAAGCUCCAUCCAUGCCAUCUAGGAAGAAUAAAAGAUGUAAAAUGUAA